CGCCCGAGAGAGUGCUCCAAUGUGUGACGUCACGGCUCAUUGAUGCCCUGUUCUGUGCCAAUAAUGACCUGCUCGGCUUUCCAAAGUGCUUAAAGCAGAUAGCUAAUAAUUACAUGAACUCGGCGCAGAGCAGAGACAACCGAGCUCAGGGAAAAAGCUAUCUCUUGCUAAAUGUCUUAACACCAUCAAGCUCGCAGACCACUUAGCUGAAGCUCAGCAACCUGGGACUGCUUAAAGUGCAGUGCUGCUUUCUGGGCCCUGACAAAAAUGUUUGGCCAGCAUUAUGGAAAGUGAAGUGAGGCUGCCCUUUUGAGGAAACAAGUCCUGGAUUCAAUUCAGAAGGUGAUCUGGGCAAGACCUCAUGGCAUUAAUGCUAGGGGAACUACCCGAUGUCACAGGGAACAGUUGCUGGUAGAGAUAACAAAAUUAUGUUACAUGCUGAUUGCUUCUUAAUAAAAUUUGUGGCCAAUGCCCUUAGCCUACA